GACGGGUGAGUAACACGUGGGUAACCUGCCCUUAAGUGGGGGAUAACAUUUGGAAACAGAUGCUAAUACCGCAUAAAUCCAAGAACCGCAUGGUUCUUGGCUGAAAGAUGGCGUAAGCUAUCGCUUUUGGAUGGACCCGCGGCGUAUUAGCUAGUUGGUGAGGUAACGGCUCACCAAGGCAAUGAUACGUAGCCGAACUGAGAGGUUGAUCGGCCACAUUGGGACUGAGACACGGCCCAAACUCCUACGGGAGGCAGCAGUAGGGAAUCUUCCACAAUGGACGCAAGUCUGAUGGAGCAACGCCGCGUGAGUGAAGAAGGCUUUCGGGUCGUAAAACUCUGUUGUUGGAGAAGAAUGGUCGGCAGAGUAACUGUUGUCGGCGUGACGGUAUCCAACCAGAAAGCCACGGCUAACUACGUGCCAGCAGCCGCGGUAAUACGUAGGUGGCAAGCGUUAUCCGGAUUUAUUGGGCGUAAAGCGAGCGCAGGCGGUUUUUUAAGUCUGAUGUGAAAGCCCUCGGCUUAACCGAGGAAGUGCAUCGGAAACUGGGAAACUUGAGUGCAGAAGAGGACAGUGGAACUCCAUGUGUAGCGGUGAAAUGCGUAGAUAUAUGGAAGAACACCAGUGGCGAAGGCGGCUGUCUGGUCUGUAACUGACGCUGAGGCUCGAAAGCAUGGGUAGCGAACAGGAUUAGAUACCCUGGUAGUCCAUGCCGUAAACGAUGAAUGCUAGGUGUUGGAGGGUUUCCGCCCUUCAGUGCCGCAGCUAACGCAUUAAGCAUUCCGCCUGGGGAGUACGACCGCAAGGUUGAAACUCAAAGGAAUUGACGGGGGCCCGCACAAGCGGUGGA
rnacentral:rRNA from 1 species